rnacentral:rRNA from 1 species
UACGUAGGGUGCAAGCGUUAAUCGGAAUUACUGGGCGUAAAGCGUGCGCAGGCGGUUAUUUAAAACAGGUGUGAAAUCCCCGGGCUCAACCUGGGAACUGCAUCUGUGACUGCAUAGCUAGAGUACGGUAGAGGGGGAUGGAAUUCCGCGUGUAGCAGUGAAAUGCGUAGAUAUGCGGAGGAACACCGAUGGCGAAGGCAAUCCCCUGGGCCUGCACUGACGCUCAUGCACGAAAGCGUGGAGAGCAAACAGG